CUCAUGGCUUUUUUUAAAGCUACAAAAUAUUCCAUUUUAAGUAUGU
rfam:Sus scrofa isolate TJ Tabasco breed Duroc chromosome 13, whole genome shotgun sequence.